AUGUUCUAUUAAUUGCGUUUAUUAUAAGAUAUAUGUAUUAACCUACGUAUCAUUAGUAGAUAGUCUAUUGUGUGAAUGAGUAGGCGUAGGCCAAUGGUAUCUAGGCAUGCGCACUAACGGCGUGUCUAUUGGUCAGGAGGUCAUAACACUGGGGGUAGGUGUGUCGGGUAUUCUGUGGAUCACCUAUAGGGGAUACAUAUCGAACCAGUGCAGAAUGAAGAUAACCCUGAUCCUCCAAACACCCUGAUCCUCCAAACACCCUGAUCCUCCAAACGUCUGAGCGCUAGGCUAAGCUAGUAGACUCGUCAUAGCGGCUGCAGAAGAAAGGAGAAGAAAGAAAAACAGCUACUACAACCUGCACAACUAUGCCUACUGACUUUUUUCCGUAGUGAUUUCUGACGUCGGCUAUGAGAGCGUGAAAAGGCAUCAGCAGGUGCUGAUAUUCGGUUGAAUAAUCAAAGAUCGAUACUCGGUGAUCGGACCAAUGUGGGGUCCAGCAGUAGUUAUGUGCCUAUCGUGGAUGGUGUGAAACAGUGGACCCCUGGAUCAAACCGUCUAACCAAGAAAAAUAACAAAAGACCCCAUCUAGGACCGGCUCUACCUCUACCCAGCUCUCCGCUAGCAGUGGUGCAACAGCAGAUCCCGUAUAAAAAGGGACGCAAGGACACCGCACAUAGUGUUUUAACUCCAGAGAAUCUUAACUUGGUUCUCCAUGCUGUUAUAAACCCUGAAAUCGCCCGCCAAGGGGGUGGAUGGUCUGAGUCCAAACAGCCGUUGAUUGAGACAUCAGUUGUACCUGUGUCUGAGCCGCCUGCAGAGACCGUUACUGUACAGCCGGAUGGAGGCAUUCAGCAUGUCCUUGGAGACCCUCAGGAUGCACCACUACCAGAACUGACCGAUGAGGAUCUCGAGGGUCUUACCGACGUUCCGUUGUGGCCCUCAGCGCUGUUGGAACAGCUCGACUUCACUCCCGCUCAUUGGAUAGACCCUCCAGCUACUUCCGUAGUGGGUACCACCAGGGCAGAGCCUGUAAACCAUCAGCCUGCAGCCCCCGCCUCUGGAUCACGACCCAUCCUCAUCCAGGCCUCUAUCCACAAUCCACCAGGCACUGUGAGUCGUCCCACCGCCAUCGGAGCAGUGGCUAGGCUGCUACCCGACGGCUCAGCGGCUGCUGCUGAAUACAUUGCGGGUGGUCCAUGUACCAACUGUUGUAAGGCUUGUGUUGGUAAAUUAACCUUGGUAACUAAAGCAGUUGAUGUAAACUCCUUAACCAUUGGUCGUCAGUGUAAACUGGGUGCAUUGUCUGUGAAACGUAUUGACAGCAGAUUUCAGACUAUCGAAGAGCAAACUAAGCAGUCACUCGAGACCCUCGGGGAAAUCAAGGACGAGCUAGUGCGUUACGGUCUGGCUAUAGAAUCAAUACAGCAGCAGAUUUUGGUUGUCGAGGCAGCAGUGCGUGUUAACACUCUGGCUUUGGAUAGUGGGCUUCUGAUAUCUAAUAUGGCGCGGAAAAUUUGGCUAAUUGAAACUAGGGCGCAGGAUAACAUCAGGGCCUACAAGGCCAUGUCUGCCCAGAUGACUAUCAUGAAUGAUGCUCUGGAUAUGCUUACGAUGAAUCGUUAGUAUUUGAUUUGUGGUUUUGGGGUGUUCUUUUUAUUUUUAUUUUAUUUAUUUUUUUCUUUUCGUUUAUUAUGUGGAGAGGGUAUUUUUUUGUUUUAAACUGAACGUAAU
ensembl:lncRNA